rnacentral:tRNA from 1 species
UAGGUUGAAGCCAGUUGACUAGGGUAUUUAGCUGUUAACUAAAAUUUCGUGGGAUCAAGGCCCACCAACCUAG